AUCAUUAUAAAAAAAAUUGCCCCCCCUGAGAAUUUUUUCAGGAGCCGCCACUGGUUUGGUUUAGUCAUGUUUUAAGCAUUGGAACAAGAACAUUGUAAGUAUUUUGCAGCUCUGUCAACAAUGAUUUGAUGAUGCUAGUUUGGACAGCAAGGGCAGCUCCUAAAUGUGUUAUAAGUUGAGAGUGUUGCUUUCAAAUUUAGUGACUUCAGUAGGCUAUCGAUUAUAUAUUUGUUCAGGUAACCAAAAGUACAGACAAUAUGGAAGCCUCUCAUCAAUGUCAGUAUCACAGACCUCGUAAUGUUGUUUACUACUCCCCUGCUGUAUAUCUGAUUAGGACUUACCUUCUUACUAUUAAUAAAUGACCUUACAUGAAUGGCUGUCGAUAUCUUUUUUUCUUUGCCAGGUGUUCUUUUGGAAAUUGAAUGCAUGCCCCUUGAGAGAGAAAAUACAACCUACGACACUUGGCCUACAGGACGCUGAUUUCAGGCAAUCUGGACGAAGUUCACUGAUGUCAGCCCAGACAUGAAGGCACAUCUUGGCAGUAGUGAAAUGGGGAGUGAUGUGCUGCCAUGUGCCUCCUGUGUGAUGUAUGGGAGAGAAGAAACGAGCCAAGAUCUUCCAGAUUUCCCAGCCCAGCUGAGGAACCAAAAGUGAUGUGCCAGUAUUUUUCAUUUGCCCAGUGGAGUGCCUGAUGCAUUUUAAUUGAAUUAUAUAAUAUAUAUUAACCAAUAAAAAUUGAUAUUUUUAGUCCACAUAGCAAAUAUAUGUACUGUAACUCAUACUCUUUCACGUAUAAUUCUGUUGUGAUGGUGUAUGUUGGUAAGUUAUUUCUUAUUAUCGACUGCUCGAUUUUAAUUCUAAACUAAACAUUUUAAGAAAUACCCAUUUCAGUAAUGGUCAUUAUUAUGCAAGAGCAGUAUCCUGUUUUGUUCUCAUGGCACAGUUGUACUGAAUCUCUGCACGUCCACACUUAUUUCCACAACUGCGAGGCUCCCCCUGUGCUCACUAUAAUUACAAUCAUCUGAUGCGUAAUUACAAUUUUAAAACAUUGUGUCAGACUGCAUCAGCAUGAUAGAGAAAUAAUAGAAAAAAGUGGAAACUGUGUUUUUGAUAUUCUGGGCACCAGACAUAAGAAGCAGGAGCCAUCAGUAGCCAUCAACUGCUGGACA